rnacentral:tRNA from 1 species
GAGAGGACCGUGCGGCUACGAGGCCUGCUAAGCCCCCGUAUUCCUGGUUGGACUCCAGGGCCCACUCG